rnacentral:rRNA from 1 species
GAUGAACGCUAGCGGCAGGCUUAAUACAUGCAAGUCGAGGGGUAGCAAGAUUGUAGCAAUACAAUUGUUGACGACCGGCAAACGGGUGCGGAACACGUACACAAACUUCCUACAAGUGGGGAAUAGCCCAGAGAAAUUUGGAUUAAUACCCCGUAACAUAGCGAUGGUGCAUCAGAUUACUAUUAUAACUUCGGUCCUCGUUGAGGGGUGUGCGGAUGAUUAGAUAGUUGGCGGGCUAACGGCCCAACAAGUCUACGAUCAGUAGCUGAUGUGAGAGCAUGAUCCGCCACACGGGAACUGAGACACGGGCCCGACUCCUACGGGAGGCAGCAGUAAGGAAUAUUGGACAAUGGACGCAAGUCUGAUCCAGCCAUGCCGCGUGAAGGAUUAAGGUCCUCUGGAUUGUAAACUUCUUUUAUAAGGGACGAAAAAAGGUCUUUCUAGAUCGUCUGACGGUACCUUAUGAAUAAGCACCGGCUAACUCCGUGCCAGCCGCCGCGGUAAUAC